rnacentral:rRNA from 1 species
AUACGGAGGAUCCGAGCGUUAUUCGGAUUUAUUGGGUUUAAAGGGUGCGCAGGCGGGAGAUUAAGUCGGCGGUGAAAUUUUGCAGCUCAACUGUAAAAGUGCCUUCGAAACUGGUUUCCUUGAGUGUAGAUGAAGUAGGCGGAAUUUGUGGUGUAGCGGUGAAAUGCAUAGAUAUCACGAGGAACUCCGAUUGCGCAGGCAGCUUACUAAACUACUACUGACGCUCAGGCACGAAGGCGUGGGGAUCAAACAGGAUUAGAUACCCUGGUAGUCCACGCAGUAAACGAUGAUUACUAGCUGUUUGCGAUACAAUGUAAGCGGCUGAGCGAAAGCGUUAAGUAAUCCACCUGGGGAGUACGUUCGCAAGAAUGAAACUUAAAGGAAUUGACGGGG